GAUGAACGCUGGCGGCGUGCCUAAUACAUGCAAGUCGAGCGAACGGACGAGAAGCUUGCUUCUUUGAUGUUAGCGGCGGACGGGUGAGUAACACGUGGAUAACCUACCUAUAAGACUGGGAUAAUUUCGGGAAACCGGAGCUAAUACCGGAUAAUAUUUUGAACCGCAUGGUUCAAUAGUGAAAGACGGCCUUGCUGUCACUUAUAGAUGGAUCCGCGCUGCAUUAGCUAGUUGGUAAGGUAACGGCUUACCAAGGCAACGAUGCGUAGCCGACGUGAGAGGGUGAUCGGCCACACUGGAACUGAGACACGGUCCAGACUCCUACGGGAGGCAGCAGUAGGGAAUCUUCCGCAAUGGGCGAAAGCCUGACGGAGCAACGCCGCGUGAGUGAUGAAGGUCUUCGGAUCGUAAAACUCUGUUAUUGGGGAAGAACAUAUGUGUAAGUAACUGUGCACAUCUUGACGGUACCUAAUCAGAAAGCCACGGCUAACUACGUG
rnacentral:rRNA from 1 species